rnacentral:rRNA from 1 species
AACGAACGCUGGCGGCAGGCCUAACACAUGCAAGUCGAACGCCGUAGCAAUACGGAGUGGCAGACGGGUGAGUAACACGUGGGAACGUGCCCAAAGGUACGGAACAACUCCGGGAAACUGGAGCUAAUACCGUAUGUGCCCGAGAGGGGAAAGAUUUAUCGCCUUUGGAUCGGCCCGCGUCUGAUUAGCUAGUUGGUGAGGUAAUGGCUCACCAAGGCGACGAUCAGUAGCUGGUCUGAGAGGAUGGCCAGCCACACUGGGACUGAGACACGGCCCAGACUCCUACGGGAGGCAGCAGUGGGGAAUAUUGGACAAUGGGCGCAAGCCUGACCCAGCCAUGCCGCGUGAGUGAUGAAGGCCCUAGGGUUGUAAAGCUCUUUCGCCAGGGACGAUAAUGACGGUACCUGGAUAAGAAGCCCCGGCUAACUUCGUGCCAGCCGCCGCCGUAACAC